UAGGGAAUCUUCGGCAAUGGACGAAAGUCUGACCGAGCAACGCCGCGUGAGUGAAGAAGGUUUUCGGAUCGUAAAACUCUGUUGUUAGAGAAGAACGUUGCAUAGAGUGGAAAAUUAUGCAAGUGACGGUAUCUAACCAGAAAGGGACGGCUAACUACGUGCCAGCAGCCGCGGUAAUACGUAGGUCCCGAGCGUUGUCCGGAUUUAUUGGGCGUAAAGCGAGCGCAGGUGGUUUAAUAAGUCUGAUGUAAAAGGCAGUGGCUCAACCAUUGUGUGCAUUGGAAACUGUUAGACUUGAGUGCAGUAGAGGAGAGUGGAAUUCCAUGUGUAGCGGUGAAAUGCGUAGAUAUAUGGAGGAACACCGGUGGCGAAAGCGGCUCUCUGGACUGUCACUGACACUGAGGCUCGAAAGCGUGGGUAGCAAACAGGAUUAGAUACCCUGGUAGUCCACGCCGUAAACGAUGAGUGCUAG
rnacentral:rRNA from 1 species